UAGGGAGACCUAAUCCAUUUAGAAAUCGAAAACAAUGAAAAUUGUCAAUAGAAACUAAAUUGGUCUAACCUAGGUCGUUCGAGAUUGGUAGACAUCUUUCAAAGUAUUAUUCGGCUUCGUUCAAAACCAUAUAUAAUAAAUGGAAAAAGACAGCACCUAAUUGUCAAAGUUAGACUGCUGGAUGAAGUUCCAGCCAGAACCUUGAAAGCUGCAUAAGAGAACAAGAAAAAGCAGGCAGACACAGACAUUUAGAUGGAUGUGGAAGCAAAAGAAAUUGU
rnacentral:misc_RNA from 1 species